rnacentral:rRNA from 1 species
GUUAAGUGACGAAGCGUAUACGGUGGAUGCCUUGGCAGUUAGAGGCGAUGAAGGACGUGUAAGUCUGCGAAAAGCUGUGGUGAGCCGACAAAAUGCAUUUGAGCCACAGAUGUCCGAAUGGGGAAACCCACCUGUUUACAGGUAUCGUUACAUGAAUACAUAGUGUAACGAGGCGAACGAGGGGAACUGAAACAUCUAAGUACCCUUAGGAAAAGAAAUCAAUUGAGAUUCCCCUAGUAGCGGCGAGCGAACGGGGAGCAGCCCUUAAGCUGUUUAGUGUGUAGUGGAAUCCUUUGGGAAGAGGAGCGAUACAGGGUGAUAGCCCCGUACACAAAGCGUGCUUUACAGUGAAAUCGAGUAGGUCGGGACACGUGUUAUCUUGACUGAAUAUGGGGGGACCAUCCUCCAAGGCUAAAUACUCCUAACUGACCGAUAGUGAACCAGUACCGUGAGGGAAAGGCGAAAAGAACCCCUGUGAGGGGAGUGAAAUAGAACCUGAAACCGUAUACGUACAAGCAGUAGGAGCACCUUCGUGGUGUGACUGCGUACCUUUUGUAUAAUGGGUCAGCGACUUAUAUUUAGUAGCAAGGUUAAGCGAAUAGCGGAGCCGUAGCGAAAGCGAGUGUUAACUGCGCGUUGAGUUGCUAGGUAUAGACCCGAAACCCGGUGAUCUAGCCAUGGGCAGGUUGAAGGUUGAGUAACAUCAACUGGAGGACCGAACCGACUAACUUUGAAAAGUUAGCGGAUGACUUGUGGCUGGGGGUGAAAGGCCAAUCAAACCGGGAGAUAGCUGGUUCUCCCCGAAAUCUAUUUAGGUAGAGCCUCGGACGAAUUCCAUUGGGGGUAGAGCACUGUUAAGGCUAGGGGGUCAUCCCGACUUACCAACCCUUUGCAAACUCCGAAUACCAAUGAGAACUAUCCGGGAGACACACGGCGGGUGCUAACGUCCGUCGUGGAGAGGGAAACAACCCAGACCGCCAGCUAAGGUCCCAAAAUAUUGCUAAGUGGGAAACGAUGUGGGAAGGCAUAGACAGCUAGGAGGUUGGCUUAGAAGCAGCCAUCCUUUAAAGAUAGCGUAACAGCUCACUGGUCUAAAUAAGUUGUCCUGCGGCGAAGAUGUAACGGGGCUCAAGCCAUGAGCCGAAGCUUAGGAUGCAUUUAUUGCAUGGUAGCAGAGCGUAGUGUGACAUAAGACUAAGUCUUUACUGAUCUUUUGUACGACCAAGGUUUGUUAUGAGAGUGUUCGCACUCAAGUAGCCGAAGGUGGUAGUGCAAGAAAGAGAUCAGAAAAGACAAAGUCUUUUCUGUGAAGCCGGCGCGUGAGCGAUCCGGUGGAGAGAUCACUAGUGAGAAUGAUGACAUGAGUAGCGACAAACAGUGUGAGAGACACUGUCGCCGAAAGUCCAAGGGUUCCUGCUUAAAGCUAAUCUGAGCAGGGUAAGCCGACCCCUAAGGCGAGGCCGAAAGGCGUAGUCGAUGGGAACCAGGUUAAUAUUCCUGGGCCAGAUGGAAGUGACGGAUCUCGAGGGU